GUCGAGCGAAUCGAUGGGAGCUUGCUCCCUGAGAUUAGCGGCGGACGGGUGAGUAACACGUGGGCAACCUGCCUAUAAGACUGGGAUAACUUCGGGAAACCGGAGCUAAUACCGGAUACGUUCUUUUCUCGCAUGAGAGAAGAUGGAAAGACGGUUUACGCUGUCACUUAUAGAUGGGCCCGCGGCGCAUUAGCUAGUUGGUGAGGUAAUGGCUCACCAAGGCGACGAUGCGUAGCCGACCUGAGAGGGUGAUCGGCCACACUGGGACUGAGACACGGCCCAGACUCCUACGGGAGGCAGCAGUAGGGAAUCUUCCGCAAUGGACGAAAGUCUGACGGAGCAACGCCGCGUGAACGAAGAAGGCCUUCGGGUCGUAAAGUUCUGUUGUUAGGGAAGAACAAGUACCAGAGUAACUGCUGGUACCUUGACGGUACCUAACCAGAAAGCCACGGCUAACUACGUGCCAGCAGCCGCGGUAAUACGUAGGUGGCAAGCGUUGUCCGGAAUUAUUGGGCGUAAAGCGCGCGCAGGUGGUUCCUUAAGUCUGAUGUGAAAGCCCACGGCUCAACCGUGGAGGGUCAUUGGAAACUGGGGAACUUGAGUGCAGAAGAGGAAAGUGGAAUUCCAAGUGUAGCGGUGAAAUGCGUAGAGAUUUGGAGGAACACCAGUGGCGAAGGCGACUUUCUGGUCUGUAACUGACACUGAGGCGCGAA
rnacentral:rRNA from 5 species